CUCUCCAAACUCUCAAAGAUCAAAGCUGCCUACCCAAAAAGGGGAACUAUCACCAUGAGAACCUGAUAAGAAAAAAGAAAAGCAAUCGAAUAAUCCGAGCAAAGUAAACCCAUUUCCUCUACCUUUUUCUCUUUUCUUGAUUCAUUAAUUUUCAUUUUAAAAAAUCUAAAUUCAAAUAAAGAAAAGAGAAAAUGAUUGUCGUUUCAUGGGAAAAUGAAAUGAAAGAUCGAGACUUUACAGAAGUAGUCCCAUCAAACAAGCUUCAGUGAGCGUAACACGUAAAACCCAUAUCGAUAAACCGCGUUUCUUUCCCUGAAAAAGUGAGUCCGAGUUAGAUUCGGAGCGAGUGAAGCAGAAGGAAAUGGAUAACCGGGUUGACCCGUAUCGGAUUCCGUUGGCUCGGGUGGUUUUCCAGUUAGUAAAAGUACGGUUUAAUGAUGCUCUUAAGGAAGCUAAAGCUGGUGAUACCAAUAUGCAAGUACUUGUUGGACAAAGGAUUGCAAUGGCUAUGGUGUUACUAAAGAUAUCCAAAAGGUUAUAAUGCUAGUGGCUCUGAUUCUAAUGAAUUGAAGGGUGGUGCAAAGUAAGUGUUGUGGGUCAUGAUGCUUCUUCACUUGCUGCUUUUCUCUUUGCCAAAUAGAGAUAUGGUUUCUAUUCUUUUCACUCUCACUUGAUUAUUUUUUGUUCCCCUUGUGUAUCCUUUGAUGAUUAUUUGUUUUAUCAUCUUUUGUUCUUUCAAGUGUUGCUGUAUUUGCUAUUGAGAUCAUAGAUUGCUAUGACAGAUUUGUAUAUGUAAAGGGGUUUCAUUUAAUGGAAUAUACUUUCUUUUUUCCUUUUAAUGGAUUUUGGCAUUUUAUGGAUUGAA